GCGACCCCAGGUCAGACGGGACUACCCGCUGAGUUU
rnacentral:rRNA from 1 species